rnacentral:misc_RNA from 1 species
GCUGAACAAUCAAAAUCAAUUAGCUAAAAAUGUUUCUUAUUUGUUAAUGUUUAACGGUUGUGUUGAUCGUUGAGACCCGGAAACCUGGAUGUCUCAACUAUAGUAUUGGAGCCGAGCUGGAGACCCAUCAGUGGGAACUACUGGCUCCACGUGUUUUGUCUUAAAAUCUAAACUCGGCUCCACUGGCUCGCUGGACGGCGACCAUAGCCACGCUCCUUGUGACAUGACUGAUUAAUUGAACUUAGGAUUUGCAUUAACACAAGUGUUUGGUCUUUACAAGUAAGCGUCCUAAAAUAAUUCAUAGUGAG